rnacentral:rRNA from 1 species
GACGAACGCUGGCGGCGUGCUUAACACAUGCAAGUCGAACGGAAAGGCCCUGCUUUUGUGGGGUGCUCGAGUGGCGAACGGGUGAGUAACACGUGAGUAACCUGCCCUUGACUUUGGGAUAACUUCAGGAAACUGGGGCUAAUACCGGAUAGGAGCUCCUGCUGCAUGGUGGGGGUUGGAAAGUUUCGGCGGUUGGGGAUGGACUCGCGGCUUAUCAGCUUGUUGGUGGGGUAGUGGCUUACCAAGGCUUUGACGGGUAGCCGGCCUGAGAGGGUGACCGGCCACAUUGGGCCUGAGAUACGGCCCAGACUCCUACGGGAGGCAGCAGUGGGGAAUAUUGCACAAUGGGCUGAAGCCUGAUGCAGCAACGCCGCGUGCGGGAUGACGGCCUUCGGGUUGUAAACCGCUUUCGCCUUUGACGAAGCGUGAGUGACGGUAAUGGGUAAAGAAGCACCGGCUAACUACGUG